rnacentral:rRNA from 1 species
GACGAACGCUGGCGGCGUGCCUAAUACAUGCGAGUCGAACGGUCUUUUCUAUGGAAGCUUGCUUCCACUGAGAAGAUAGUGGCGAACGGGUGAGUAACACGUGGGUAACCUGCCCAUAAGAGGGGGAUAACAUCCGGAAACGGGUGCUAAUACCGCAUAGUUUUCUUGAUCGCAUGAUCGAGAAAGGAAAGACGGCCUUUGUGCUGUCGUUUAUGGAUGGACCCGCGGCGUAUUAGUUAGUUGGUGAGGUAACGGCACACCAAGACGAUGAUACGUAGCCGACCUGAGAGGGUGAUCGGCCACAUUGGGACUGAGACACGGCCCAAACUCCUACGGGAGGCAGCAGUAGGGAAUCUUCCGCAAUGGACGAAAGUCUGACGGAGCAACGCCGCGUGAGUGAAGAAGGUUUUCGGAUCGUAAAACUCUGUUGUCAGAGAAGAACAAGUCGGAGAGUAACUGCUCCGGCCUUGACGGUAUCUGACCAGGAAGCCACGGCUAACUACGUGCCAGCAGCCGCCGUAAUAC